rnacentral:piRNA from 1 species
UGAUGGGAUAAACACUGAGUAAGAGUG